rnacentral:lncRNA from 1 species
AACGAGCAAGGGAAGGAAAGCGGGGAAAGGAGGAAGGAAACGAACGAGGGGGAGGGAGGUCCCUGUUUUGGAGGAGCUAGGAGCGUUGCCGGCCCCUGAAGUGGAGCGAGAGGGAGGUGCUUCGCCGUUUCUCCUGCCAGGGGAGGUCCCGGCUUCCCGUGGAGGCUCCGGACCAAGCCCCUUCAGCUUCUCCCUCCGGAUCGAUGUGCUGCUGUUAACCCGUGAGGAGGCGGCGGCGGCGGCAGCGGCAGCGGAAGAUGGUGUUGCUGAGAGUGUUAAUUCUGCUCCUCUCCUGGGCGGCGGGGAUGGGAGGUCAGUAUGGGAAUCCUUUAAAUAAAUAUAUCAGACAUUAUGAAGGAUUAUCUUACAAUGUGGAUUCAUUACACCAAAAACACCAGCGUGCCAAAAGAGCAGUCUCACAUGAAGACCAAUUUUUACGUCUAGAUUUCCAUGCCCAUGGAAGGUGAAGAAGGAAGUUUUAGCCAUGGGUCUGUUAUUGAUGGAAGAUUUGAAGGAUUCAUCCAGACUCGUGGUGGCACAUUUUAUGUUGAGCCAGCAGAGAGAUAUAUUAAAGACCGAACUCUGCC